UACGUAGGGCGCAAGCGUUGUCCGGAUUUAUUGGGCGUAAAGAGCUCGUAGGCGGCCUGUCGCGUCUGCUGUGAAAUCCUGGGGCUUAACCCCGGGCGUGCAGUGGAUACGGGCUGGCUGGAGGCAGGCAGGGGAGAAUGGAAUUCCCGGUGUAGCGGUGAAAUGCGCAGAUAUCGGGAGGAACACCGGUGGCGAAGGCGGUUCUCUGGACCUGUCCUGACGCUCAGGCGCGAAAGCUAGGGGAGCGAACAGG
rnacentral:rRNA from 1 species